CAUAUCAAUAAGCGGAGGAAAAGAAACUAACAAAGGAUUUCCCCUAGUAACUGCGAGUGAAGCGGGAAAAGCUCAAAUUUAAAAUCUGGCAGCCUUUGGUUGUCCGAGUUGUAAUCUAGAGAAGUGUUAUCCGCGCUGGACCGUGUACAAGUCUCCUGGAAUGGAGCGUCAUAGAGGGUGAGAAUCCCGUCUUUGACACGGACUGCCAGGGCUUUGUGAUGCGCUCUCAAAGAGUCGAGUUGUUUGGGAAUGCAGCUCAAAAUGGGUGGUAAAUUCCAUCUAAAGCUAAAUAUUGGCGAGAGACCGAUAGCGAACAAGUACCGUGAGGGAAAGAUGAAAAGAACUUUGGAAAGAGAGUUAAACAGUACGUGAAAUUGCUGAAAGGGAAACGCUUGAAGUCAGUCGCGUUGUCCAGGGAUCAACCUUGCUUUUGCUUGGUGCACUUUCUGGUUGACGGGUCAGCAUCAAUUUUGACUAUUGGAAAAAGAUUAGGGGAAUGUGGCAUCUUUGGAUGUGUUAUAGCCCUUAGUUGCAUACAAUGGUUGGGAUUGAGGAACUCAGCACGCCGCAAGGCCGGGUUUUUAACCACGUACGUGCUUAGGAUGCUGGCAUAAUGGCUUUAAUCGACCCGUCUUGAAACACGGACCAAGGAGUCUAACAUGCCUGCGAGUGUUUGGGUGGAAAACCCGAGCGCGUAAUGAAAGUGAAAGUUGAGAUCCCUGUCGUGGGGAGCAUCGACGCCCGGACCAGACCUUUUGUGACGGUUCCGCGGUAGAGCAUGUAUGUUGGGACCCGAAAGAUGGUGAACUAUGCCUGAAUAGGGUGAAGCCAGAGGAAACUCUGGUGGAGGCUCGUAGCGAUUCUGACGUGCAAAUCGAUCGUCAAAUUUGGGUAUAAGGGCGAAAGACUAAUC
rnacentral:rRNA from 1 species